CCCUGUUCUCUUAACCCUUCACAGAUUGCCCUGCAACACAGUAUUCCAGCUCCACUUCUUGGAGGACAGAGGAGGGACUUUUUUGACUAAGCCCGACGGACAGACGCACCAGAAACAAGAAAGGCAACAACAGGAGACCAGUCCCUGGUGGAACAUGCAGGAUCAUGGCCUACGUGUUAGAGGAAAUAGUGAGGCUUUCCCUUUCCACCCUCUCCCUGUCUGCAGGGUUUUGCCUCAUCUUGACGCUGCUGAAAGUGCUCCAGCUCUACUGGAAGAAAAAAGAGCUCAUCAAAAUCUAUGAGAGUUUCCCAGGACCCCCCAGCCACUGGCUGUAUGGCCACAACCAUAAGAUCCGUCAAAGAGAAGAAUUAAACACGUUGCUGUCUUGGUCUGAAAAAUACUCCCCUGCCUUCACCAGAUGGUUUGGAGGGUUCAUGCCUGUCUUGGUCAUCACUCAUCCUGAUUUUGCCAAAGCCGUGUUUGGCCGAGGAGAUCCCAAGAGUAUGACAUCCUACGGUCCCUUAGUACCCUGGAUCGGAAAGGGAUUAUUGGUCUUAGAUGGGCCAAAGUGGUUCAAACACAGGAGGAUGUUGACUCCAGCAUUUCACUACAAUGUGUUGAAACCUUAUGUGACAUUGAUUUCCGAUUCUACCAAAGUGAUGCUGGACAAAUGGGAACAGCUGAUCACGCAGAAGAAGUCAGUGGAGCUCUUUGAGCAUGUCAGUUUGAUGACUUUGGACAGCCUCAUGAAAUGCGCCUUCAGUUGUAGUAGCAACUGCCAGGUUGACAACGACCUGGAUUAUUACGUCCGAGCUGUGUAUGACUUGACCUACUUGGUAUUCCAAAGAUUCCGCUUUUCCUUCUAUCACAGUGAUUUCCUCUAUCGAAUCAGUGCCCAGGGACGUCGUUUUCAUGAGGCCUGCAGACUAGCACAUCUCCAUACAGACAAAAUAAUAAGUGAGAGAAAGAAGUUGCUUCAAGAUGAGAGAGAGGUUGAAAAGAUCCAGAAGAAGAGAUACUUGGAUUUUCUUGAUAUUCUUCUCUGUACCAAGGAUGAAAAUGGUGAUGGACUAUCCGAUGAGGAUGUACGUGCCGAGGUGGACACUUUCAUGUUUGAAGGCCACGAUACCACAGCCAGCGGGAUCUCCUGGCUGUUGUACUGCAUGGCCCGGUAUCCAGAGCACCAGCAGAGAUGCAGAAAAGAGAUCCAGGAGAUUCUGGGAGACCGGGACACAGUUCAGUGGGAGGACCUUAGUAAGAUGAACUACACCACCAUGUGCAUCAAGGAGAGCAUGCGCUUGUACUCACCAGUCCCUGCGGUGUGGCGACAGCUCAGUAAGUCCAUCACAUUUAUUGAUGGCCGGAGCUUGCCAAAAGACUCUCUGGUUUCAGUGAACAUUUAUGCUCUCCAUUGGAACCGAAGCGUGUGGAAAGAUCCAGAGGUGUUUGACCCCAUGAGGUUUUCUCCGGAGAACUCCUCCCAGAGGCAUUCACAUGCGUUCCUGCCCUUUGCAGCUGGAUCCAGGAACUGCAUCGGGCAGCAGUUUGCCAUGAACGAGAUGAAAGUGGCUCUCGCCCUGACCCUGCUCCGCUUUGAUCUCUUCCCCGACCCGGCCAAGCCCCCCGAGCCAAUGCCGCAGCUCAUCCUCAAGUCCCAGAACGGGAUACACCUGCUCUUAAGGAGACUUCACGGAGACCAUGGAAACUAGGUAGUUAAGCAGGAUUCACUUGUUUCCAGGAGAGUGCAGGCAGUGUGGCUGCCCAACAGAAUAGCCCUUGUCCUGCCCGCCCCGCUACAAUCCCGCUGUGACUUCUGGGUGCUUUGUCACCCCGCCAGAAGUUGGGGGAAAGUGAUAUCAGGAGAAGAGAAUGCAAAUUCUGACGGUGGCAAUACAAAAACCUAUGAACACCUCUCUCCCUGGCUAAGAAAUGCACUUGCUCAGCAGUGUCCGAGACCCAAGGAACCAUGCUUUCUGUCCAGCAUUUGUCUGCUUUCCUCUGGGACCCUGUCUGUAGCAGCAAUUCAUACAUCUAAACAAGCAUCGCCUUCAGCAACUUGGUGCCUCUGAGACGCCAAAUGCUUGUGCACCAGCGUAUCCUCAAGAACUGAAGCAGUACAUGAGGACGCCGCUUCCAGUAUGUUUGCAAAGUUGUGAGCAUCUCCGAGAUGAGUAGUGACUAGAGGGAAUCAAGGACCACGGGUUUUGUUCAGUGACCAGCAGUUAUUAAAUGAGGGCAGCUCAAGAGCUGAACUCCAGAAAAAAAUAAAAAAAAUGUCUCUA